UACGUAGGGGGCAAGCGUUGUCCGGAAUCAUUGGGCGUAAAGCGCGCGUAGGCGGCCCGGUAAGUCCGUUGUGAAAGUCAAAGGCUCAACCUUUGAACGCCGAUGGAUACUGCCGGGCUAGAGUCCGGAAGAGGCGAGUGGAAUUCCCGGUGUAGUGGUGAAAUGCGCAGAUAUCGGGAAGAACACCCGUGGCGAAGGCGGUUCUCUGGGACGGUACUGACGCUGAGACGCGAAAGCGUGGGGAGCGAACAGG
rnacentral:rRNA from 1 species